rnacentral:lncRNA from 1 species
AGCCGGCAGCGAGCUUGGAAAAGUCGCUUUACGGCUCCUAAUCAGAACGUUCUUAAUCAGAACAUUGUAAGGUUCUUUUGAGCUAGACAAUAAGCCCUGUGCGGUCCUUCCUUGUAUCAACCGCAUAAGUAACGUCCCUUAACCAGCCGAACUCCUGUGUGGGCCGCUCAACGCCCAUAUCCUUCACGCCGGGCAAACUCAGUCGGUAAGGUAAAUCCCCUAUCGCUGUUGAUUGAUUGCCUGGAGGGAAUCUUGGCCCCUUUCGCGGGUUGCUAGUUGCUGCGUAUUACGACUUGCCCGUUCUUGUGCCGUCUAGUCAGCAUCCAAGCUACCUGCAGGACUUCGCCAAGCCACCCUGCGUCCUUAGCCGUAAUGCCUAAAUCAGGCUAGAAGACCAAGUAAGUUCGGUUUUGGGUUUACCUUAGGUGUUCUGUCGCCUAGGGGAUAUUUUCCCAGCACCCUUUUUGGUAGGUUAGGUAGGCUAUGGGUCACGCCAGCCGCACCUGUCAGCAGUGUUACGCACAGCUGCCUUACCAAUCAGCAAUUUUGGGCCAUUUCCUUACUGGUUCGAUUUGCUUGCGUAUUCGGUCACUCUUACAAUCGAUACUGUGUUACGCACAGCCGUCUGUUGAACACUCGAUCCCGAAUACUUGAUACGAUCAACUCAUUUUACCAUCUAGGCUUGGUCAGCCCAGCCUAACAUUAUUCUUAUAUAAGACUUUCAGCUCACCUGAACAGCAGGUUCGAGCUUUUCUGUGCUUAACCAACAUUUCGCGUACCUCUGGCCGAAUUAUACGGGGUCACACCAAUUCUUUUGCUUUCACCAGCCUCAAUUCGCUACUGCAGUUUACAUCGAGGCAGUGAUACCCCAGGCCACUCAGAGGACGCCCGGGGCGCAGUCCCUUUGGUUUUCACACCAACACUUUUCUUCGCCGUGGUGUUCGGGCCACUCCAGUCAGACACCGGCACCAUCGGCUGAUUCCACAUAUCUUCGAGCCUCUUGGCAAAUCUCCUGAACUCAUUUAUAUAGGUCUUUUGGCUCGCGGCGUUAGGGUCGACAUCGAGCCGCGACCGGUCAUUUGCAAUAUCCGCUACCUGUUAGCUGUGCAGCUAUAUCCGGACCUGGACCAGCUUCCCAGGCAAACUAUUGUUAUCAGCACAACAGGUGGUGCAAUUUCCUCUAUUUGAAUACGGAGACUUCUGUGCGCCUAAGCGCAAUGAUAUGAUGGAGUAAACGCUGCAAGCUUAUCGAGUCGGUACUCUACUCUUUCCCGACGCAGCGUUACCAAUUAUUCCAGCUGUUUUCACGCAGGUACUCUUUAUUUUGCAGCACCACACAACGCAGUUUUACAGCGACACCAGCUUUGGUGGGGCGGGGUUAGUACAUGCCAAAUACAGAAGUACGGAGGGCCCUAUGCCAACCACGGAUAUCACACCAGGACGAGACAGUCCGAGUUUUGGCCAUUCCAGCACAGAAUGCAGAGUCAGACAACAGGUACCAACUAAGCUUUAUUAAGACGGAUUACAGAAAAUA